GUCUACGGCCACGCCACCCUGAACGUGCCCGAUCUCGUCUGAUCUCAGAAGCUAAGCAGUGUCGGGCCUGGUUAGGACUUGGAUGGGAGACCACCUAGGAAGAUCAGGUACUGUAAGCG
rnacentral:rRNA from 1 species